GUAAAUGUGGCAUAGUGGUUUGAGUACUGGACUACAACUCUGGUGGCCAGGGUUCAAUUCUCCACUCAGCUAUG